rnacentral:rRNA from 1 species
GACGAACCGAGCGAACGUUAUUCGGAAUCACUGGGCUUAAAGGGUGCGUAGGCGGGCACGCGAGUCAGGGGUGAAAUCCCACGGCCCAACCGUGGAAGUGCCUCUGAUACCGCGAGCCUCGAGGGGGAUAGGGGCGUGCGGAACUUCCGGUGGAGCGGUGAAAUGCGUAGAUAUCGGAAGGAACACCGGUGGCGAAAGCGGCGCGCUGGAUCCCUACUGACGGCUGAGGCACGAAAGCCAGGGGGAGCAAACGGGG